GACGAACGCUGGCGGCGUGCUUAACACAUGCAAGUCGAACGAUGAAGCUGGAGCUUGCUCUGGUGGAUUAGUGGCGAACGGGUGAGUAACACGUGAGUAACCUGCCCUGGACUCUGGGAUAACCCCGAGAAAUCGGAGCUAAUACCGGAUAGGACCUUGCACCGCAUGGUGUGGGGUGGAAAGUUUUUCGGUCUGGGAUGGACUCGCGGCCUAUCAGCUUGUUGGUGAGGUAAUGGCUCACCAAGGCGUCGACGGGUAGCCGGCCUGAGAGGGUGACCGGCCAAACUGGGACUGAGACACGGCCCAGACGCCUACGGGAGGCAGCAGUGGGGAAUAUUGCACAAUGGGCGCAAGCCUGAUGCAGCAACGCCGCGUGCGGGAUGACGGCCUUCGGGUUGUAAACCGCUUUUAGUAAGGAAGAAGGGGCUUCGGCCUUGACGGUACUUGCAGAAAAAGGACCGGCUAACUACGUGCCAGCCGCCGCCGUAAUAC
rnacentral:rRNA from 1 species